AGAGGUAAGAAACUAGCAAAAGCACCGCCACAAGUUAUGCCCGCGCCGCGCCUCCCGCAGCAGAGACCAGCGGUGUGGGCUUUGGAGUGAAUCUACACUGCUCGCCGGGGAGAAAGGAAGUCUUUGGGAUUUUGCAGAAAGAGAAAGAGGUCAUUAACGACCAGAGUUUGCGCGGCCAAAAUAAAUGUCCAAUGCACCGCUCAGCACAAUGAUCUAGAAAAGUUUCCAGCAAGAGGGAAGAGCAAUGGUGUCUGACUGAAAGGGACCAAUGGUGACUCGUCUGUAGGAUGCUGACGGCAAAGAAGAGAAUCAAAGUCCUUUGUAAACAGAGCAAAUGUUAAAGAAAUCGUUGUGUGUUUCCAUCCUACAAUUUUGGAACUCCACUCUAUUAAAAAUGUAUUAAUUUCUUAUGGUCUUUAUUUGCAAAGAAAAUUGUAUCUAUGCUUUGAAUGUCAGAUUGCAGUAACUAAUCUCAGACAGUGUUUUGUAUCUGAAAAUGUGUUUAUGUCAACUAAGAAAAAGUCUGUAUUCCAAACAAAAACACAAAACGAUUGAAAUCAGUGGUUUCCUCCGUUGAAAAGAUGUGUUGUGUUCAUAGGAUAUCAACUAAGUAAUUUAAAGAUGAGUAGGAAGACUUUUUAAAAACAGAUUAAGCUUUUGUUAUUUUUGUCUUAAAAUGUUAAAGGCCUUUCAUGAAAAAGGGUCUUCCUUUACAGUUCAAAUACUUUAAAACCUUAUGUGUAUCAAAGUAGCUAACUAAUGAUAGAAUCCUUAAGGCACCAAAAAACAGCAAACUGAGUUCAAAACGACAUCCAAUUUACUGUUAGACAUAAUGGCAGUUGUGGCUAGGCUAACUGGACUUCUUUAGAAUCUUAGUAGUCAUUUCAACUUUUUGUCUUUUUACUUUAUAUUGCAUAGCAUUUGUAUUUAAAUAUUCAAUAAAAUGUGUACUCGGUUUGAAAAACUAGCAAGAUAUUUAA